rnacentral:rRNA from 1 species
UCCGUAGGUGAACCUGCGGAAGGAUCAUUAACGAGUUAGGGUCUUUUUUGGCCCGACCUCCCAACCCUUUGUCUAUUCGACCAUCGUUGCUUCGGCGAGCCCGUCUUCACGGACCGUCGGAGGGUCCUUCACAGGUCCUCUGGCCCGCGCUUGUCGGUGGCCCCAACUUAAAUUCUUUAACUAAACGUGUCAUAAUCUAAGUACUAUAUAAAUUAAAGCAAAAACUUUCAACAACGGAUCUCUUGGUUCUGGCAUCGAUGAAGAACGCAGCGAAAUGCGAUAAGUAAUGCGAAUUGCAGAAUUCCAGUGAGUCAUCGAAUCUUUGAACGCACAUUGCGCCCUUUGGUAUUCCGAAGGGCAUGCCUGUUCGAGCGUCAUUAUCACCCCUCAAGCCCUUUGGCUUGGUGUUGGACGGUUUGGUGGAGGCCCUCGGGCUUCAACCCCUCCCAAAGACAAUGACGGCGGCCUCGUUGGACCCCCGGUACACUGAGUUCUUCACGGGACACGUAUCGGAUCAAGGGCCCACGGGACACGGUCUACCUCCCUGAAAGGGAGAAUUUUCUCAAGGUUGACCUCGGAUCAGGUAGGGAUACCCGCUGAACUUAAGCAUAUCAAUAAGCGGAGGUAAAGAAACCAACAGGGAUUGCCUCAGUAACGGCGAGUGAAGCGGCAACAGCUCAAAUUUGAAAUCUGGCCUCUUUGGGGUCCGAGUUGUAAUUUGUAGAGGAUGUUUCGGGUACCGCCUCGGUUUAAAUUUCUUGGAACAGAAUGUCAGAGAGGGUGAGAAUCCCGUCUUGGACCGGCGGUAGGGGCCCAUGUGAAACUCCUUCGACGAGUCGAGUUGUUUGGGAAUGCAGCUCAAAAUGGGUGGUAAAUUUCAUCUAAAGCUAAAUAUUGGCCAGAGACCGAUUGCGCACAAG